rnacentral:rRNA from 1 species
AGUGAACGCUGGCGGUAGGCCUAACACAUGCCAGUCGAACGGCAGCACAGUAAGAGCUUGCUCUUACGGGUGGCGAGUGGCGGACGGGUGAGGAAUACAUCGGAAUCUACUUUUUCGUGGGGGAUAACGUAGGGAAACUUACGCUAAUACCGCAUACGACCUACGGGUGAAAGCAGGGGAUCUUCGGACCUUGCGCGAUUGAAUGAGCCGAUGUCGGAUUAGCUAGUUGGGGGGGUAAAGGCCCACCAAGGCGACGAUCCGUAGCUGGUCUGAGAGGAUGAUCAGCCACACUGGAACUGAGACACGGUCCAGACUCCUACGGGAGGCAGCAGUGGGGAAUAUUGGACAAUGGGCGCAAGCCUGAUCCAGCCAUACCGCGUGGGUGAAGAAGGCCUUCGGGUUGUAAAGCCCUUUUGUUGGGAAAGAAAAGCAGCAGGUUAAUACCCCGCUGUUCUGACGGUACCCAAAGAAUAAGCACCGGCUAACUUCGUG